rnacentral:rRNA from 1 species
CCUACGGGCGGCAGCAGUGGGGAAUAUUGGACAAUGGGCGAAAGCCUGAUCCAGCCAUGCCGCGUGUGUGAAGAAGGCCUUCGGGUUGUAAAGCACUUUCAGUGGGGAAGAAAGCCUUGGGGCUAAUACCCUCGAGGAAGGACAUCACCCACAGAAGAAGCACCGGCUAACUCCGUGCCAGCAGCCGCGGUAAUACGGAGGGUGCGAGCGUUAAUCGGAUUUACUGGGCGUAAAGCGCGCGUAGGCGGUCUGAUAAGCCGGUUGUGAAAGCCCCGGGCUCAACCUGGGAACGGCAUCCGGAACUGUCAGGCUAGAGUGCAGGAGAGGAAGGUAGAAUUCCCGGUGUAGCGGUGAAAUGCGUAGAGAUCGGGAGGAAUACCAGUGGCGAAGGCGGCCUUCUGGACUGACACUGACGCUGAGGUGCGAAAGCGUGGGUAGCAAACAGGAUUAGAUACCCUGGUAGUC